rnacentral:rRNA from 1 species
UAAGACCUGCGCUUUUGGAGCGGCCGAUGUCUGAUUAGCUUGUUGGUAAGGUAAAAGCUUACCAAGGCUUCGAUCAGUAGCUGGUCUGAGAGGACGGCCAGCCACACUGGGACUGAGACACGGCCCAGACUCCUACGGGAGGCAGCAGUGGGGAAUUUUGGACAAUGGGGGCAACCCUGAUCCAGCCAUGCCGCGUGAGUGAAGAAGGCCUUCGGGUUGUAAAGCUCUUUCAGCCGGAACGAAACGGUUACGGUUAAUACCCGUGACUACUGACGGUACCGGAAGAAGAAGCACCGGCUAACUACGUGCCAGCAGCCGCGGUAAUACGUAGGGUGCAAGCGUUAAUCGGAAUUACUGGGCGUAAAGCGUGCGCAGGUGGUUUUGUAAGUCAGAUGUGAAAUCCCCGGGCUUAACCUGGGAACU